AUGAACGCUAGCUACAGGCUUAACACAUGCAAGUCGAGGGGCAGCAUGGUCUUAGCUUGCUAAGGCCGAUGGCGACCGGCGCACGGGUGAGUAACACGUAUCCAACCUGCCGUCUACUCUUGGACAGCCUUCUGAAAGGAAGAUUAAUACAAGAUGGCAUCAUGAGUCCACAUGUUCACAUGAUUAAAGGUAUUCCGGUAGACGAUGGGGAUGCGUUCCAUUAGAUAGUAGGCGGGGUAACGGCCCACCUAGUCUUCGAUGGAUAGGGGUUCUGAGAGGAAGGUCCCCCACAUUGGAACUGAGACACGGUCCAAACUCCUACGGGAGGCAGCAGUGAGGAAUAUUGGUCAAUGGGCGAGAGCCUGAACCAGCCAAGUAGCGUGAAGGAUGACUGCCCUAUGGGUUGUAAACUUCUUUUAUAAAGGAAUAAAGUCGGGUAUGGAUACCCGUUUGCAUGUACUUUAUGAAUAAGGAUCGGCUAACUCCGUGCCAGCAGCCGCGGUAAUACGGAGGAUCCGAGCGUUAUCCGGAUUUAUUGGGUUUAAAGGGAGCGUAGAUGGAUGUUUAAGUCAGUUGUGAAAGUUUGCGGCUCAACCGUAAAAUUGCAGUUGAUACUGGAUAUCUUGAGUGCAGUUGAGGCAGGCGGAAUUCGUGGUGUAGCGGUGAAAUGCUUAGAUAUCACGAAGAACUCCGAUUGCGAAGGCAGCCUGCUAAGCUGCAACUGACAUUGAGGCUCGAAAGUGUGGGUAUCAAACAGGAUUAGAUACCCUGGUAGUCCACACGGUAAACGAUGAAUACUCGCUGUUUGCGAUAUACAGCAAGCGGCCAAGCGAAAGCGUUAAGUAUUCCACCUGGGGAGUACGCCGGCAACGGUGAAACUCAAAGGAAUUGACGGGGGCCCGCACAAGCGGAGGAACAUGUGGUUUAAUUCGAUGAUACGCGAGGAACCUUACCCGGGCUUAAAUUGCAGAUGAAUUACGGUGAAAGCCGUAAGCCGCAAGGCAUCUGUGAAGGUGCUGCAUGGUUGUCGUCAGCUCGUGCCGUGAGGUGUCGGCUUAAGUGCCAUAACGAGCGCAACCCUUGUUGUCAGUUACUAACAGGUUCCGCUGAGGACUCUGACAAGACUGCCAUCGUAAGAUGUGAGGAAGGUGGGGAUGACGUCAAAUCAGCACGGCCCUUACGUCCGGGGCUACACACGUGUUACAAUGGGGGGUACAGAGGGCCGCUACCACGCGAGUGGAUGCCAAUCCCCAAAACCUCUCUCAGUUCGGACUGGAGUCUGCAACCCGACUCCACGAAGCUGGAUUCGCUAGUAAUCGCGCAUCAGCCACGGCGCGGUGAAUACGUUCCCAGGCCUUGUACACACCGCCCGUCAAGCCAUGGGAGCCGGGGGUACCUGAAGUGCGUAACCGCGAGGAGCGCCCUAGGGUAAAACUGGUGACUGGGGCU
rnacentral:rRNA from 1 species